GAACGAGAAAGUGGAGCAAUCCAUGAGUAAAGUGGCGACCGGGUGAGUAACACGUGACUAACCUGCCUUCGAGUGGGGGAUAACCUCGGGAAACCGAGGCUAAUACCGCAUAACAUCGCAAGAUCAAAGCAGCAAUGCGCUUGAAGAGGGGGUCGCGGCUGAUUAGUUAGUUGGCGGGGUAACGGCCCACCAAGGCGAAGAUCGGUAUCCGGCCUGAGAGGGCGCACGGACACACUGGAACUGAAACACGGUCCAGACUCCUACGGGAGGCAGCAGUGGGGAAUUUUGCGCAAUGGGGGAAACCCUGACGCAGCAACGCCGCGUGGAGGAUGAAGCCCCUUGGGGCGUAAACUCCUUUCGACCAAGACGAUAAUGACGGUACUGGUGGAAGAAGCACCGGCUAACUCUGUG
rnacentral:rRNA from 1 species